rnacentral:rRNA from 2 species
UGGGGAAUCUUGCGCAAUGGGCGAAAGCCUGACGCAGCAACGCCGCGUGCGGGAAGAAGGCCUUAGGGUUGUAAACCGCUUUCAGCAGGGAAGAAAAUGACUGUACCUGCAGAAGAAGGUGCGGCCAACUACGUGCCAGCAGCCGCGGUGACACGUAGGCACCAAGCGUUGUCCGGAUUUAUUGGGCGUAAAGAGCUCGUAGGCGGUUCAGUUAGUUGGGUGUGAAAACUCCGGGCUUAACCCGGAGCCGCCACCCAAUACUGCUGUGACUAGAGUUCGGUAGGGGAGCGGGGAAUUCCUAGUGUAGCGGUGAAAUGCGCAGAUAUUAGGAGGAACACCGGUGGCGAAGGCGCCGCUCUGGGCCGAAACUGACGCUGAGGAGCGAAAGCAUGGGUAGCAAACAGG